rnacentral:pre_miRNA from 1 species
GAUUUCAACUGAAAAACUUAUCAAUAACAAAGUUGAAUAACUCAUCAAGAUCUAAAACUUUUAUUUUGAUCUCUUCUUCAUCCGACAAAGUGAUAGUAACAUUGUUCACAAAAUUGAUGUAUCUCUUAUCUGGUUUUAUAAACUAUAACACAUAUAUGUAAAAUUUGUGAACAAUAUUACUAACACUUUGUCGGAUGAAGAAAUGACAAAAAAUAAAAGUUUUAGAUCUUGAUGAGUUAUACAAUUUUGUUGUUGAUAACUUUUUCAGUUGAAAUC